AUACGUAGGGGGCGAGCGUUGUCCGGAAUGAUUGGGCGUAAAGGGCGCGUAGGCGGCGCGGUAAGUCUGGAGUGAAAGUCCUGCUUUCAAGGUGGGAAUUGAUUUGGAUACUGCCGCGCUUGAGUGCAGGAGAGGUUAUCGGAAUUCCCGGUGUAGCGGUGAAAUGCGUAGAGAUCGGGAGGAACACCAGUGGCGAAGGCGGGUAACUGGACUGCAACUGACGCUGAGGCGCGAAAGUGUGGGGAGCAAACAGGAUUAGAUACCCUGGUAGUCCACACUGUAAACGAUGAAUGCUAGGUGUAAGAGGUAUCGACCCCUUUUGUGCCGGAGUCAACACAAUAAGCAUUCCGCCUGGGGAGUACGGCCGCAAGGUUGAAACUCAAAUGAAUUGGCGGGG
rnacentral:rRNA from 1 species